rnacentral:lncRNA from 1 species
GACUGUUUAUGGCACAGAAUGGAUCACAGAAAAGGUGCUUAUGUAGUACAUUGGGUCCCCGACUGGUGAUGAUUUCAGCCAGGUCUGGAUCAUCUAUGAGCUUAGAGGUGGUGUACAUCAUCAGGGUGUAGGCGGUUCUGUCUAGCAAAGAGGUGUUAUUUUCCAGGCAGGUCAUCCAACUGUUCGCUGACCCUGGGUAGGUGGAAUGUGCGCAGGUAGUAUUUUACAUUCUGAUCGAAAGUCUCGACCCAGUCACUGUUGGGCGCGACGUAGCGUUGCCCCUGUGGUAACUGAGAUGCUAACAGAGGGGUGAGUAUGGAAUCCACGUAUGCAGUCAACCCCUGCAAAGCUUUCAACAGUUCUCCUCCCAUUUUGGUGAACAGUGCAGAUUUGUGAUCAUUGAAGACUGUAAGGAGUACUUGCCAGUCUCCUGGCGCAAUGUGAUGAAAUGUCAGGUCCCUCAGGUUGGUGAGGAUCUUGUCCCAGGUGGCCUUAAUCUUGAGAUCAAUAGCACGUUCAAUCUCUGCAGUGGAUGGUACAGGUGUGGUUUCUGUCUCCAUUUCCUGCUCCUUGAUGAGGUCAUCUCUGAAAUGUUUGAGCUGGCGCGUAGCAUAUGACCUUGCUGUUUUGGUUGGAGCUUUAUCCAGGAACAGAUUGAGGUCGUCAAUAGAGGCCGGAGUAAAGUCAGCCACGUCCUGCUUCCAGGCUUCUAGUUGUUUGUCAGUUUUGAUUUUUGUGAGGUCACGGACCUCGGAUGUGAUAAUCAAGUAUAUUUUGGUUUUAAAUGAUUUAUCAAAUUUGUAUUGUCUGAUCGAUGAUUUGAUAUACUUGAAGGUUGUGAGGCCCUUUUCCACACACUCCAUAUCAUCACAGUCUACAAGUUCUUCUUGAACGGCCAUGAUGGAUUCCAUGGUUUUUAUCAGGUCUUCUCGUCCAGGGAUGUCAGCUAGUCCCAUCAGACUGUUUAGGGAGUUGAAGAAAGUGUUUGAGAGAUGGUUGUGAGAUCUGGCAUGGAUGCUGCUCAGUGCUUCGUUGAUUAAGGAGUUGGUGAUUUGGAUCAGAGACAGAUUCAUAGCUGCGAGUGAGAGCUGCCCCUGUUCUGUUUUUGUGGCAGCUUGCAGCUGGGGGAUUACUUCUGGUAAGGUCCUGAUGUUUAUUUUCUGUAGCAAUGAUUCUAUGUAGGAUGUUGAUGUUGUCAGGGUCGUGACUUGGGAUUGAAUUUCAACCAGCCUGGGGUCUGAUGCCUGUGCCAAGACAGUAGCAUUUUUUAUGUAAUCUGAUAAGGUAUUUAUGAGGGCAGGUGAGGCGGCCUUGUCCUGUAUUGCCUUGAGCGUCUGGUUAAUUUCACUCAGAAUCUUGUCCAGGGAUUCAGAGUCUGCCAUUUUCUUUUUGAGGUCGUUUAAGUGGCUGGAUGUUUUCUGGAAGAUGUCCAGGACAUGCACUGGUUCCCUGAAUGCACGCUCGGGCCAUGUCUCAUCAAUAAUCUUUGACAGCUCUCUGCCAAUGUAAGACAAUUGUUGUUGACUACUGUCAAUUUCUGGAGUUCUGAUUUCUGCCCUCUCCACACAGGCGUUGAUGACUGUGAGCAAGGUAGUGACAUUUUUCAGUAGCGUCCUCACUGGGGGCACGAAGGUUGUUUCUAUAGCAUUUUCUGAGGGAAUGUUGCUGAUUAAUUCUGAAAGGGUCUCCACGGUGUCCUUUUCGAUGGCCUUGACAGCCUCCUGGAUAGCACUUGAAAGUAGUGGUGUGCGGGUUUCUGUUUCUAGAUAAAUGGGCCCCAGGGAGGCGGGUGGAUCGGUGUUAUUUAAAACUGAAAGCAUCAAAGCCUUGAAUCUGGCAUCCUGCUCACUUGUUAGAGCCAUGUUGUUUGAGACCACCCUUUUUAGGUCCUGUACAGUCGAGACCAGAUUAUUGGCCUCUUCUACCGAGCACACACAAAAAAAAUCUUGGGGGAAGGACUCGGUGAAGGUCGUGAUGAUAUCCUUUAUGUCAAGGCUACUUUUGCUUAUCUCCAGGGCGCGGGUGAGAUUUUUACAGUGGAGUAGGAUUUUUUGGAGGUCCGUCGCGCGGUUAGCGUGCAUGGCGGGUAGGCACGCGCAUACUUUGGCCUGGACAUGGUCUGCGAGGUUUGGGUCUGAUAUGAGAUUAUUUUUUAGCAGGGUGAACAGUUUUUCAAUUUGGAGGUUUGAAUUAAUUAACAGUUUGAUAUCAUCAUUUUUAAUUUGUAGCUGCUUGGACCACGCCAUUAGAUAAUUCAGAACAUUCAAGGCCUCGGUGGGAGUGUAGUCGCUGUCUGAAACCACUCCAAUCUCUAGUACCUGUUGGAGGACAUUCUUGAGCUGAUGGAGAGCCCUGGUCAGGCGAUAUGAUUCUCCAGUAUCAGUGUCUACUAAUGCGGGGAAUGAUGGCACAUGGCCAGGCAGAGUCAGGGAAUUUAAAAGCUGGUCCACGGCAGCCAGGUUGGGGAGGGUGACGCUUGGGAGGGACGUCCCAGACCUGUCUGGCUCGGCCUCCCUGUCGCCCUCGCUCUCGUCCUCCAUAUCAUCGUCCCCAGUAAGAUCGAUGACGUCAUCGUCCAUCGUUAAGUCAAUUAUGUCUGGAGAGGGUAGAGGGUGUGUCAUUUUCUCUGGAGGGGUGCGCCCAGAUUCUUUCCUCUUUUUGUUGGCAUCAGUCCACUCCUCCCCACAGCUCAUAGGAUACCUCUUCCUCUUUGCCUUUGACAUGUAUUUCAAGAGGGAGCCCACUUCUGGGUCAGGCGACGAUGACGCCUGUGGUGACGAACAGAAACUCUGGUUGGUGGUUGGUAGGUCAUAUUCUUCCAAGAUUAUUUUUGAACCAUGUAAAUCAGAAAAGGAGAUGACUUUAUAGUGAGACAUGAUGUAAUUUUUGGGAGAAAUGUGUCCUGGUACAAAAUAUAGGAAGCACGCAGUAUAUUCGCGGGACACGCCCCCGACAUAUUUUAUCAGAGCAUCUGGAUCAGACGUGCUGAGUACGUGGGCUGGACUCUCAGGAAUGUCCUUUAGACAGUGUGGAUCAAACAUGGUGUACCUGCCCCCCUGGAUGAUUAUGGCCCCAGAUUUUUGUCCACAGAUGUACAAAAUAUACUGGAUAGUGUUUGAAUAAUUGGCCGUCAGCAGGUCACGCAGGGACGUGAUGCAGGAGUCAGAAAUGUCAGCUGGCAUGCCAAGCAGGCCAAACAUUUCAGCAGAGGUAUAGAUGAACCCAGACCACUUUCUUGUUUGGACAUAGCAAGGCACGUGGUCCAGCUGGGCAUAUUGGCCAGGAGAUAAGAGGCCCAAUUUUCUCAGAUUGCUGUCUAACUCUGCCCCAAACUUUAAAACUUUAUUAAGGUCGUGGGUCUCGGUUAUGGGGGCUUCAUUGUUGAAGUAGGAAGACAUCAGGUAUAUGAUACAGUUGCUAAGACACUGAGCCCCUGCAUUUUCUCCAAAUUUACAAUCUGCCUGAUUGGUUGAGGCUGUACCUUCGAUGCGAAACCCAGCCAAAGAAGCAGGCAGGGCCAUUAUGAUAGCAGUUUUAUUAUGUCAUGAAUUUUUACAAUAGUGUAGGGGCACUCUGCGUGCUCGGCGGUGUAGGUUUGUUGUGUAAAUAUUUGCCAGUUAACAUCCAGGGGUAUUCUGUCAUAAGUGCUGGAAUAUUUUUUCAGUUGGGGUGGAUGUUUCUCACCACGGGCAGCGUUUUGGCUAAAAAUCUGGGGGUAGGUAGAAUAUAGCAUGGUUAGGUCUUCAUCUGUGGGGUUUCCCCCAGCCUGGGUCAUUGACGUGUCUGUGGGUGGAGCCAUCAGAUUUACUGGAAUUUCUUUAAGAUUUUUGAUAAUUUCCACAUUUCCAGCCGAUGCCGCCUUUAAGAUUGUGGGGGUAAUGAUUUCCUGGGAAAACAGGUCAUGAAACCUUUUUCUUAAGCAACUUGAACAUCCUUUCGAGAGAAGGGAUAGUCCAGAGCUAAUUCUGGAGAGUAUGCCACUGAAGGACUGUUUGAGUUGGUUCCAAGGUUCGGUGUCAAAUUCUAUCCCCAACUCAUGCUGUUUAUAUGCCUCUAGGUCUUGAAGAAGUGAGAGCACCGUGCUGUAUUCCCCCCUGAGUUCACCCUCCAGAUCUGUUAUCUCCAUCAGGAGCUGACUGUGAUCCUUUUCCACCUGGCUAAUCAGACUCUUGAGGGUCUCCAAGUGAACUUCCAGAAUCUGUCCACUGGAGGACAGUAUGAUCCAGGGCAUGGUCCAAGAGAUUCUUCAUGGCAGAAGGUUUAUUGGUCCCGUUGAUGAUGUCGAGCAGCUCAAAGUAGAACAUGCCCAGCGGUCUGCGGAUCUCCUGCAGCUGGGGCGUGUCGGUGAUAGCGAAGCUCAGCAGCCAUCUUAUUUGGAAGAGGGCCCGGUUUCUUGACGUCUUUCUGGAAAAUAUCCCCUGUAUGGUGGGACCAACGAUGUGUCUGAUGAAGUACUUGUAAAACAUUUUAUGGGAGACCAUGGCAGGCUCGUAGGAUAAGUCCCCGACAGGCAUUCUUUUACAGUAGGCCGCGACCCUCUCUUCGGAAACCUGGUGCUCGCAAGAGGGUUCCAUCAGUGGAUUCUGGGUGAUGAGGACAAUGCCCCAAUUCCUGUUUACCCAUGAAAAAAAUAAAGUUCUCAUGAUAUCUGA